UCUCCACUAAAGAAAAAUAAAACUUAUAAAACUUAUAAAUUAACACACACACCCUUUAAAAUACAACUGCUAUUAAAAGCACGAUUAAAAUAUAACAAACAGUUAACACUAAAACAGGGGAAAUGAAUGUAAUCUGCAAUACUUAAAAACAGCCUGUGAUCUUCACCACCUUCAACAGGAACGAAUGCAAGGAGCAGGCUAUAGCUGCUCCUUAUAACCCGGCUCUGAUUAACAGCAAGGGAUGGGUGAAUGUUCAUGCUGCAUUCAAAGACACCAUGCAAAAACCAUCUACCAAAUCUAACCCACUACACUAUGACCUGGCCCAUAGACGGGUUGUGUGGCAUUAAUUUCAUUUGGGUUGAUGACUGGACCAUGACAAUGGUUCUUUUCUUUUUCAGCCAUUCUGCUGUAGAUGUAGCUGUUGGUGUUUUUGCAGUUUAUCUGAGCACUUGACAGUCUCGUGUGUGUUUUAGAAAAUCCACUACUUUGAAAGCUGGCAACUGUCCUGAAUUUUUUCCAUUGUGGAAUGAUGACCUUAUAACCCUUUUCUGAUUGAUGGGCAACAGCGAUCAGUUUGCAUCUGAUUUAUUUUUCUAUAUUAUAUCCUAGCACAUAAAACCUUAGAAGUAACAAAGGGUGUGCUUUCUUUUUUAAGGUGACUGUAUAUCCCACAUACUUUUUGAGAGAUGACUUUUUAUAACAAGCUUAGACGAGGCAAAGUGUCAAUACUGCAGGACUGCAGGAAAAAAGGCAUGGUAAAUCUCACCUACUUUAUGCGACGUUAUCUAUGGUCUGUUGCUGUGGUAUUGGUAAAAGUAGAACAGUGCAAUACAGGGUGGGAAAAAAAUACUUUACUGUGAACAGAUGUCAGGGUGCACUCUCACAGAAUCGUCUCCGACUUCAAAGACUGAACCAGCCAACCAAAAGAAGAAGAAAAGGCACUCACGUGGCCACACACCAUGAUCGAUUUCCUGUUUGCACACCAUUUCUGUGGCAUUGUGUAAGCAUCUAGGCAAGGUCUUAAUAGUAUGCAUGCAUGUCCACUGUGCAGACAUACAUGCAAAGAAGCUGUACGCUAUAAUUAAGAUGAUUAUUAGAUAUCAAAUUUUCCUUAUGUGACAUUAAAGCUGGUAAAGUUGUUGCGCAGAGAUAAGGAUUAAACAGCAUAUGACUCAAUGCUGGCAUGGAAGACUUUUCAAGAUAUUGGGGAAUCAACAGGACCCUUUUUCUAAUAUGUUGCAUCGUGUGUAUGUUUUUACAAGCAGAAGGGAACAGCACUUCCUUGAUGGCUGGGAGCACAGUGACCCUGCACUGUAGCAAUAACUCAAUCAGCGACCUCCAACAACUGACAUGGAAAAGGAAUGGGACUCUUCUGUUUAGUUUCAAGGCACAGAAAACCUCAAACAACAGCUCUGUGACUUUAAGCAGUAAUCAGAACAUGUCAGACAGCAGAAUAAUAAGGUCUCAUGCAGCUGCCAUCCUGAAUCUAAGCAUGUCCACCUUAAAAAGCCAACUGUAUGCACUAAUCAUAGAGAGAGCUCAGAAACAUCACGAAGGAAACUACACUUGUGAAACGACCACAGACUCAGGAGUCUUCGAACAGAAAUGGGAGCUCAUAAUUACAGAGAACGCUGAAGCUGAAGGUCCAUUUAAAAUCCAUAUUGCUGCAGCAGUUGUUGUCCCUUCGCUAUGUUUCCUGAUCUUUAUAUUAACUGCUGUGAUCAUUCUCAGAGGAGUCUGCAAACGACGUUCGCAAAGAAUCACCCAGGCUCCUAGAAGACUGCAGGAGCAGAGACAACCCACUUAUGAAAACCUGGAUUUUGAAGGUCGCCAACAAUGUGGACAAAUUCAGGUUCACCCCUAUAAAUACAGGGCUGAGUGAUAUGAAUCGCACAGUAACAUAAGGCCUAACUCUUUUAAAUGAUCAACCACUUUAAACGGCUUUCUCUGUGAAUGUAUUGUAGUGAAGAGCACAGUCUGUACUUGAAGCUGCAUUAUUUAUUUUUUUCUGGCUGAACUGAAGACCAGUCAGAAUGUGACCUCAUCGAUUUGUAGUCAUAAGUUAACAGCUGACAGUAGAUACCUGUCAGUUUUGUACAGGGUGUUUAAUUACUGACGAAAAUAGAUUGCUUGGAGCUCUUAAAUGCACUGUUACUCACACACUGGCUAAUGUUGUUGUUUUAAAUGAAUUCAGAACACACCCUCAUGUUAUCUUAGGCUGCUCUGCUUAGUAAUCUCAAGACUUUACAGCGUUACAGAGAGAACAAGUGCCCAUUCAGUAUGAGUUUAGUGCUGCAGUUUAUCUCUAGUGCAAAAGUAAAACUUGACACAUUUAAACAUGAUAGGGUAGUUGAGGCACUGAUUGGGAUGCUGUCUCACAGUUUAAUGUAGAGAGAAGCAGAUCAAAGUGAAAUUUAUUUAAUUAAUAAAUUAAAUUAACUUUCUAUGCUUUAAUUCUGCAGUUUUUUCCCUCAUCACCAGGUAAAUGCACAAUGCAAUUUCAAAUACAUUUUUUAUGCUGUUGCAACCUCACAGAAGAUCUCCUUUCUGUGCUUUUAAUAAGAUCCGUCUCAAUCCACUGCAUAUAUAAAAAGUAUUAUUUCAUCACAUAUUAUAUCACUUUUAAAGCACACAGUAGCAACAACCCCAUUUCUAAAAAGUUGGGACACUGUGUAAAAUAAAAACAGAAUGCAAGUUUUACCAAAUCUAAUAAACUCAUUUUUUAUUUCUAUCAAACAUAUAAAUCAAAUAUCGAAUGUUUAAACUGAGACAUUUUACUCUUUCAUGAAAAAUAUGAGCUCAUUUUCAAUUUAAUGGCUGCAGCCUGUGUCAAGAAAUCUGGGACAGGGGCAACAAAAGACUACAAGUAAUUAGGUUAAUUGUUAACAGGCCAGUAAAACCAAUCUUUGAAAAAUACGAUGGACUGCUUUCAGAACUGCACAUGAUUAUUUUCAGCUAGCAGGUUGUUAAUGCUAUCCAUCGAGUCUAACAAUCUGCAGUCUAUGAACUAACCUCAGCUAAUGCCAGCUAACAAUGUUAGCUUGGUGGCGAGUGGCCUUUAGUAAUAGUAAUAAAUCACACAGCAAUAGUACAUCGAAGAUACUGAAGUGGCGCAUAACCCAGGUAGCUACCACAACUAAAACAAGGUAGUUGCAGUAGGCUAACAUUAGUUUUUAAAAAAGAACUCACUUCCAGAUGUUUCUUUAAGUUGGAGGUGGAGUCUUUUUACGCUGAGAGCAACUUGGUUUCUGGCAAACAUAGUUUGCAAUGCAUGGUCAGAUUUUGCCCAUCCUUUUCUUCUUUAAAUGUUAAGUGGUGUCGGAAUUUCCAAGUAAGAAAUGCGUUCCUGCCCGUGCACUUCUGGCUCUGUUGUGCUGGCUCUGGGUCCAUUGUGUAACUGAUGCCACCAACAUUAACAGGAGACUUACAUUAAAGCCUCUUAUUUCGCGUUUUGUUUGGGUUUCCAGCAAUGUGUGGAAUUACCAGAAUUAGAGAGGGGAUAGAGAGGGGAUAACCCAACAUAUGAAACAGGAAAAGGCCGCCAUGUAAUCCAUUUAUUUCAAAAAAGUAACUGUAUUCUAAUAAACCCCCUUUAAACAGUAACUGUAACUGAAUACAGUUACUCAUAUUUUGUAUUUUAAAUACGUAACACUGGCACAUGUAUUCCGUUACUCCCCAACACUGCCCUGGACUGUAAAUUAACUCCUAUAUGAGACUUAAAUGGACAACAUUCCUCUUCCAAAAGUCCAGCAACUGGUAUUUUCAGUUUCUAGAUGUUAACACACUGUUCAUAAAAGAAGUGGGGAGGUACACCGUUCUAAACGUGGCCCUGAAACAUGCUGGAACCACAAAUUCAAAUUCAUUUCUUAAAAUGGCACAGUUUACAAGUUUACACGUUUGAUAAACAUUUUCUAAGUAAAUAGAAUAUACAUUUACAUUUGUGAGAUUUGCAAAUCAUUGCAUUUUGUUUCUAUUUACAUUUUGCACAGGAUCCCAACUUUUUUGCAACUGGGGUUAUAGAAGUGACACUUUGAGGCAGUUUUACCCCAAAACUGCGCAUCACCUGCUCCAGAUCAGACUAUGUUUGCAGGAUGAGUUACCAUGGUGAUCUAGCCAGGUUAAAGGAAAGACAAGUUUGUGACACUGCAGACUCUGACUUUAAGCUUUACACAGCUCACUAAAGCAUUAAUCCCACUUUGUACUAUACUCCUUUUGACUGCAUUCUAAAGAGAGUCAAAAAGAUGGUACAGAAGUCCCAUUUAGACUCUGCGUGACUCAGUGGAACAUAUCUCACCUACUUCCCUUGUCUGUGGUCUCUGGUGUGAAGUGGCGUAGAUGCAUAAAAAAAACAACAAAAAAACAACCACAACUCACAAAAGUGUCCUAUUUAGAUCAACAAACGGUUUAACUCCAGACACUGAUGUAGGAGGUAAUUUCCUGAGAAAUUAUUUUUUCCAUCUAAAUAAAAUCUAAAAGAGCAAACAGUGCACUGCUAUUGCACAUAACCUAUUCAGUUCAUCAGCUGGCAAAGUGCAUAAACAGAAAGCUUAAAGGUCAUGAAAGAGAAGUACAGUGCUUAAAAAAAUUAUUCAAAAGCAGUAUACAUGAGCCAAGUUUAAACUCCCGGAGGUUGGAGCUGCCCACACUGGCAGUCCACACCUCUAAUUUGAAAAGGGCCUUAAUAAAAAUAAGAACGGAUAAGUCAGAAAGAAGAAAAAACAUCUCCCUCAUCCAUAUUAGGUUAACUGGAGACUAAAAGUUGCCCAAAGGUGUGAGUGUGAAUGGCUUUCUGUCUCUAUGUGCUGACUCUGCAGUAGACAUUCUUGAACCCCUCCCCCCACAGCUCAGCCUGAUUUGGAUAAGGGGUUAACAAGUUGCUCCAGUGUUUUGUUUUGUUUUUCUGAAUAGAUAUCAUUUAAUGUGUAGCACCUAUGCUUGUAGAGACUACAUUGAUCAGGUGUAACAUUAUGACUACCUGCCUAUAUUACGUUUGCCCGUUUUUCAGCUGCAGUGCACUGUGUAUUCUGACACUUUUCCAUGAGUACCAAUAUUACCUUUUUUGGCAAUUUGAGCUACAGUAGCUCAUCUGUUGGACCAGACCACAAGCACCAGCCUUUGGCCUUUAAUGACCCUGUGACUGGUUCACCACUGUUCCUUCCUUAGUCCACUUUUGAUAGAUACUGACCAUUGACUGGGAACAAAGGCUGGGAGCAGGGGUUUCGAGGUGCUCUGAUCCAGUCGCCUAGUUUGCCCUUGUGACACUUGCUCAGAGCCUUACGCUUGCCCUUUUUUCCUGCUUUGAACACAUGUAAUUUGAAGACAAAAUGUUCACUUGCUCCCUAAUAUAUCCCACCCAGUAAGAGGUGCCAUGCUGAAGAGAUAAUCAGUGUUAUUUCCUCACCUGUUAGUGGUCAUAAUGUUAUACCAGAUCGGUGUAGGUACAUUACAAUCAAAACCAUAACUUUUGAAAAAUGUGAAUGACUUUAUUUUGUACAGGUUACCUCUUUUGCAAGCACAACUGUGUAUAUAGAAAAAUGGAAUGUGAGUGUUGUGUGUAUAAAACAACGAAAUAAAAGAAAAUAACAAAAAAAAAAAGAAAAUUCAUUUAAAAUCAUAAUAACACAAGGGGGAAAAGUCACUUACUCAGUGCCUUUGGCCUCUGCUGUGCCUCUGACUCAGUCCUCAUGCCAGAACCAAUCAAUGUCGAGUUCCUGUAGAGUCUUUGCCAAGUAAAAGCGCCCAAGAAUGUCACCAUUGAUUUGUGACAAUUUUUCUGGUCUUGUUUUCAAGGGAAAAAAAUGAUAAUAAUGAGGCCCAGACACAGAGCGUAUGAAACAUGGAAACAAAUUAAACCUAUUUUGUAACCCUUAAUAUAGACAAUUGUGUAUGGUAUGCUCAUUGUGAUUUGUGGUCGAUAGGUUGUUAGCCAGUGAGUGCGCAGUUACGGAGUUGUUUGUUGUCACAUCUUUUUUUAUUUAAACCAACAUGGUAAUUGUGGAAAUAUGGGGCUAAAUUUGGGGCUUGAGAACGGGACAUCAAAAACCUGUGGGUGAUAGAUGUAGCUACGCCAGUCUUUUACAUCAUAUAUGGGACUGGGCCUUGGUGACCUCAUAGCUGGUUAUGGCCAUAGAUGGAGGAAAUACAUCUUUAGAACAUCAGAAAUCAAUAAUUUGCAAUUCAGGUAAUGGGAAAUUUUUAUAUUAUUUCUCUUUUUCAAAACUUUGGGCUAAUCAUGAAAUGAUUUAAAGUUAGCCAACAUCUAAAGUGUGAAUAACUGUAUAAAAAAUAAUAGGUAUAACUUUUAUGUUAGUCAGUUGUCAUUUUGUCAGCGUCACUGUCAAUGAAUAUCACCCUCCCAACAUCCACCCAAUCAAAAAAAGCAGAUCACUCACAUGGGGGGAGACCAAAGUCAUUCACUUCCUGUGUGGAAACCAUUCUACUACAAGUACUUGGGCAAGGCUGAAUGUUUUGUAUAUACACUAUAGCUGGUCUACAGCAUAAUUACAAUGAUUAUUAUAUAUAUAGUUUAGUUGUUUUUGUGGCCUUAAAGGUGUUAAAGGUCUGAUUUAGAGAUAAGGACCAAACAGCAGAUGACUUUCAAUACUGUCGGGAUGGAAACCGUUUCAAGAUAUUUGGACAUCAACCGGACCUUCACCCUAAUAUGCUGCUUCUCCUCCAUUUUCUUGCAAGCAGAAGGGAGCACCACUUCCUGGAUGGUCGGGAGCACAGUGACCCUGCACUGUAGCAAUAACUCAAUCAGCGACCUCCUUCAACUGACAUGGAGAAGGAAUGGGACUCUUCUGUUUAGUUUCAGGCCACAGAAAACCUCAAACAACAGCUCUGUCACCUUAAGCAGUAAUCAGAAAACAUCAGACAGCAGAAUAAUAGGGUCUCAUGCAGCUGCCAUCCUGAAUCUAAGCAUGUCCACCUUAAAAAGCCAACUGUAUGCACUAAUCAUAGAGGGAGCCCAGAAAUAUCACGAAGGAAACUACACUUGUGAAAUGACCACAGACUCAGGAGUCUUUGAACAGAAAUGGGAGCUCAUGAUUACAGAAGAAGCUGAAGCUGGAAAUAAAUUGAAAAUCCAUAUUGCUGCAAUCAUGGUACCUUGUGUGUGUUUCCUGAUCUUUAUCAUUUGUGCUUUGACCUUUCUGAGACAAAUCUGCAAAAGACAGUCAGAAAAUAUCACCCAACUGACUGUGACAUUGCCAGAACAUCUUUAUGAAAAUCCCCUUGAACUUGAAGCUCGCCAACGACGUUUCCAAAACCAGGUUCUCUCUUACACAAAGAGGACUGAGCAAUAAGAAUCACACAUAGUACAAAAGAAUAGAAAUGCACUGCAAUGAAGAGCACAUUAUGUACUGAAAUCCAUUAAAUUUGUUUUUCUUGCUAACUGGACACUUGCCAUAAUGUGACCUCAUCAGUUUGUAAUCAUAAAUAAGUUUCGUCUGUUUACAAAUCUCUGUAAGUAAACUGGAGCAGGAACCUGAAUUUUCUCUACUAAAUGCACAGUUAUUUAC